GGUGAACGCUGGCGGCGUGCUUAACACAUGCAAGUCGAACGGCAAGGCUCCUGCUUGCAGGGGUACUCGAGUGGCGAACGGGUGAGUAACACGUGGGUGUUCUGCCCUGCACUUCGGAAUAAGCCUGGGUAACUGGGUCUAAUCCCGGAUAGGACGAUGGUUUGGAUGCCAUUGUGGAAAGCUUUUUCGGUGUGGGAUGAGCGCGCGGCCUAUCAGCUUUUUGGUGGGGUAAUGGCCUACCGAGGCGUCGGCGGGUAGCCGGCCUGAGAGCGUGUACGGCCACAUUGGGACUGAGAUACGGCCCAGACUGCUACGGGAGGCAGCAGUGGGAAAUAUGGCACAAUGAGCGCAAGCCUGAUGCAGCGACGCUGGGUGGGGGAUGACGGCCUGCUGGUAGUAAAAACCUUUCGCUAGGGACGAAGCGAAAGUGACGGUACCUGGAGAAGAAGCACCGGCUAACUACGUG
rnacentral:rRNA from 1 species